UUCAUUUUUUUUCGUAUGUAGUUCGUAGUGGAAUCUCUAAAAAGUCUUAUAUUUAGGAACGGAGGGAGUAAUUUGUUAGUGCACACGGGAUGUAGGCAAUUUUGUUCAACGUUUUAGGCACAUAUGCAGUAUUACUUUCUCCAGUAGAAGGCAAAUUUUUACAAUACUCGCCGAUCAGGAAGACAUGCAUUUCUCACAGCAUUAGAGGGCAAGUUUUUGGUUUACACCAUUGGAAUGUAGGCAUUUUUUGUUCAGCGGGUUAGGCCCUUUUAUGCACAAUAGUUUCCCCAGUAAGUACGCAAGUUUUACAAACACUGUCCAGCAUGAGUAGGCAAGUUCCCUCAUAGUGCUGCUAAUCUGCUUCAGUUAGAGCUGUAGUUUUUCAUUUUGUGUCUGUUUUGGACUUAUCUUCCUGUGUAGUAUGAAGCUUAGUUGGUUUUUACAUAUUUUCCAUUUUGGGCAACUUGAAAACCAAAAUCGAUUCAGUCAUUUAAGCGUCACAUGAAAGAUAGAAGAUACUAGUUCGUAUAAGAUUUUAGACAUUUUUCAGGUUGUAUCCCACAAACACUAGACGAAAAUUAAUCAGUUUUCCGAAUGCACAUCACAUUGCUUUUUCAGCGUACAUUAACUGAUUUUUUCUGGGCCUUGUUACUUGACUUGUAGUAGUAGUUUCUCCAGCAGCACUAACUGAAGCAGAUUACAUUAACUGAAUCCUUUUUAAGGUAUACUAGCGCUGGAGGGCAAGCUUUUACCAUACUUCUGUAGCAGUUCCUUUUUUGUAGGCAAGUUUAAAGUGGGUUAAGACAGAGGACUUUCCAAAUCAAAACAAUGGCGAGUCAAGUGCAAGACAAUAGACAAGAUACAAUUCAAGAGCGAGCAUCUUCUCUAGCAUCCAGGUUUUUUUUGUGUGGAAGCUCUAGCAUCCAAUUGUACAAGGGGAGGAGGGAAACAAAAACAGGAGGGGCAGAUUUUGUGCAAGAUUUAAGUCAAGUUUCGCAAGAUAUGGUAUUGAGAGACAUGUUUGCAACUAGUAUAUCAAACAUGUAGGUACAGAGGGGGAAUUCCACUAGCUAUAGAACUAACCGAAUCGUGCCAAAUAUAUUAGGAAGGGCCUUUUACCUUCGUGUUUUCACAGGGAGAAAUUUGCCUAGUUCUGGCAAAUUAUUUGCCGAAGUUUCUUCAAAGUAAUGCCCGAUCUGCAAGAAAGAGUUGCAAAAAAAUUGUGUUAUUCUAGAAUUUUUGCCUGAUUUUUUCACUUAA